CCAUUCGCUAGAACAGCUGUCGGAUC
rnacentral:sRNA from 1 species